UUGACCUCGGAUCAGGUAGGGAUACCCGCUGAACUUAAGCAUAUCAAUAAGCGGAGGAAAAGAAACCAACAGGGAUUACCUCAGUAACGGCGAGUGAAGCGGUAAGAGCUCAAAUUUGAAAGCUGGCUCCUUCGGGGUCCGCAUUGUAAUUUGCAGAGGAUGUUUCGGGAGCAGCCCCCAUCUAAGUGUCCUGGAACGGACCGUCAUAGAGGGUGAGAAUCCCGUAUGGGAUGGGGUGUCUGCGCCCAUGUGAAACUCCUUCGACGAGUCGAGUUGUUUGGGAAUGCAGCUCUAAAUGGGUGGUAAAUUUCAUCUAAAGCUAAAUAUUGGCCGGAGACCGAUAGCGCACAAGUAGAGUGAUCGAAAGAUGAAAAGCACUUUGAAAAGAGAGUUAAAAAGCACGUGAAAUUGUUGAAAGGGAAGCGCUUGCGAUCAGACUCGCCUUGGGGGUUCAGCCGGCAUUCGUGCCGGUGUACUUCCCCCAGGGCGGGCCAGCGUCGGUUUGGGUGGCCGGUCAAAGGCCCUUGGAAUGUAACGCCUCUCGGGGCGUCUUAUAGCCAAGGGUGCCAUGCGGCCUACCUGGACCGAGGAACGCGCUUCGGCUCGGACGCUGGCAUAAUGGUCGUAAGCGAC
rnacentral:rRNA from 2 species